UAUGUAUUUAAUAUAUGACUGAUGUCGUUUGGAGUCUGUCGCGGCCAUUGUGUUCAGCACAUGACUUGAUUCAAGCACUUGCAAACCAAACAGCUGUUUGAUGUUGGUUAUAAAAAAGCACUGUGCAAUUGUAAAUUAAUGAAUGAAUACUGACGUUCUUCCUAGUUUGAAAAGUUAUUGAUCAACUAAAUUAUCCUGAAAAAGGAAGUACAAACAUUUUUUAACUGAAAGUUUAAAGCACUUUGAUCAGAAAGCAGGUUAUCAAUAUACAGCAGUGAGUGACAAAAUGGUCUUAUGCAAGGAAUACCGCAUUUGCAUGCCGCUCACAGUGGAAGAGUAUCGCAUUGGACAGUUGUAUAUGAUUGCUCGCCACAGCUUGGAACAAUCUGGUGAUGGUGAAGGAGUUGAAGUUGUGGAGAGUUAUGAAUGCGAAGAUCCCGUGCAUGGCAAGGGACAUUACACAGAAAAACGCAUAUAUCUAUCAAGUCGUUUACCAUAUUGGAUACAAGCCGUCUGUCCGCGUGUAUUUUACGUCAUAGAAAAGUCUUGGAAUUACUACCCUUUCACAAUAACAGAAUAUACCUGCUCCUUCGUGCCCAAAUUAAGCAUAACAAUCAAAACUAAAUACGAGAAUAAUAAUGGCUGCUCAGAAAACUGUCUGGGACUUAGCGAAGAGGAAUUACAGACACGCUUAUUGGAGGAAGUCGACAUUGCAUUUGAUGAGCUUUCCAAUCAGAAUCAUUAUAAAAAAGAAGAGGAUCCCAAAUUUUUCAAAUCUGUGAAAACAGGUCGCGGUCCUCUCAUCGAGGGCUGGAGAAGCAUGGAUGAGCCCAUUAUGUGUUCCUACAAACUGGUAAAUGCUUCCUUCGAAGUUUGGGGUUUACAAACCAAGGUAGAAGAUUUUAUACAACGUAGCAUACGCGACGUUCUGUUGUUGGGUCAUAGACAGGCAUUUACAUGGAUUGACGAGUGGUAUGGCAUGACUUUGGCCGAUGUGCGUGCAUUUGAAAGACAAAAGCAAGCUGAAACAAAUGAAAAAUUAAAAGCAACUGACGAUAAUUGACAUGCGACAUCAAUAAGUGUCGAUACUAAUGUGGUUUAGUUUCCUAGGAAAGCGUUUAAAACAAAACAAAUUAGAUUUUAAGGAGUGAAAACGGAAGGAAGUGUAAAAAUUUAAGACGGUUAAUAUAACCUUUGAGUUAUCACAAGAUAAUACUAGUGUUAAAAAGCAAAUGCUUGCUUAAAGAGCUCGAAGAAAUAGAUAAAGCAAAGUAUAAUUACUCAGGAAAUUAAUGUUCUAAAUUGCGAACAACGCGCAUUUAGCGUUUUCACAAAAGAUUGCUGAUAACUUCCACAUUGAUUAUUUUAAGUAAAAUUUCGUUAUUGAAUUACACAGAAAAUCAGAUAACAACAUAUUUCACUACUGUCACACAUGUAUUUAACUUGGCGAUAUUUUCUUUUUAAUUCAAGAAAUAUUAGUUUCGAAAGUGAAAAAUGCUUUUUGAGUUAUUUUUACUCUUUAAAUACAUACAUUUUCCCAACUAGGAGAUUAUUUUGAAUAUACUAUAUGUUAUGUCUGUACAUGCUUAGUGCAGAAGUAAUUUCAGUUUUGAAAUGAGUCUAAACUGAAAAGAAUAGAACCCAAAUGUUAGUUAGUUUGAAUUUAACUAGCCAAAUAGUAUACACAUGUACAUAUUUUAUUUUUAGUAAAAGCAAAAAAUUUAAAUACAAAGACAUAUUUUGAAAAAAAGGAAA
rnacentral:misc_RNA from 1 species